rnacentral:rRNA from 2 species
GUUGUUGGAGCUUGCUCCAACAACGUUAGCGGCGGACGGGUGAGUAACACGUGGGCAACCUGCCUUAACGACUGGGAUAACUCCGGGAAACCGGGGCUAAUACCGGAUAACAUCUAGCACCUCCUGGUGCAAGAUUAAAAGAGGGCCUCUGGCUCUCACGUUAAGAUGGGCCCGCGGCGCAUUAGCUAGUUGGAGAGGUAAUGGCUCCCCAAGGCGACGAUGCGUAGCCGACCUGAGAGGGUGAUCGGCCACACUGGGACUGAGACACGGCCCAGACUCCUACGGGAGGCAGCAGUAGGGAAUCUUCCGCAAUGGACGAAAGUCUGACGGAGCAACGCCGCGUGAGUGAAGAAGGGUUUCGGCUCGUAAAGCUCUGUUAUGAGGGAAGAACACGUACCGUUCGAAUAGGGCGGUACCUUGACGGUACCUCAUCAGAAAGCCACGGCUAACUACGUGCCAGCAGCCGCGGUAAUACGUAGGUGGCAAGCGUUGUCCGGAAUUAUUGGGCGUAAAGCGCGCGCAGGCGGCCUCUUAAGUCUGAUGUGAAAUCUUGCGGCUCAACCGCAAGCGGCCAUUGGAAACUGGGGGGCUUGAGUACAGAAGAGGAGAGUGGAAUUCCACGUGUAGCGGUGAAAUGCGUAGAUAUGUGGAGGAACACCAGUGGCGAAGGCGACUCUCUGGUCUGUAACUGACGCUGAGGCGCGAAAGCGUGGGGAGCAAACAGGAUUAGAUACCCUGGUAGUCCACGCCGUAAACGAUGAGUGCUAGGUGUUAGGGGUUUCGAUGCCCGUAGUGCCGAAGUUAACACAUUAAGCACUCCGCCUGGGGAGUACGGCCGCAAGGCUGAAACUCAAAGGAAUUGACGGGGGGCCCGCACAAGCAGUGGAGCAUGUGGUUUAAUUCGAAGCAACGCGAAGAACCUUA